rnacentral:rRNA from 1 species
GUCCACGCCGUAAACGAUGGGCACUAGGUGUGGCGGGUGUCGACUCCCGCUGUGCCGAAGCUAACGCAUUAAGUGCCCCGCCUGGGGAGUACGGCCGCAAGGCUAAAACUCAAAGGAAUUGACGGGGGCCCGCACAAGCAGCGGAGCAUGUGGUUUAAUUCGACGCAACGCGAAGAACCUUACCAGGGCUUGACAUGCACUGGAAAGCCGUAGAAAUACGGCCUCCCUUCGGGGGCCAGUGUGCAGGUGGUGCAUGGCUGUCGU